CUGUUUUACCUUUUUGGUUCUAUAAAUCCCACCUUCACACACCCUUCAAAGCCCUUCCACUUCUCUUCUCUUCUCUCUUCUUUACUUAUCUUCUUGAAGUUUUUUCUCUGUUUUAUUUUGUUCUUCUUUAUAGAUCUAGAGGUUCUGUUUGUGUGGUUUGGAGAGUUUAAUUCUCUUUAGGGAGUCUUGAAAUUCUGAUUUCUUUUGUUGGUUUUGGUUUUCAUAGUCAAACUUGAAAACCCUUUUCUUGGAUCUGUGUUUUAUUGAGGUUUUGGUACAAAAACUCUGUUUUUUUUUUUUUUAAGAAAACAGAGCUUUUUUUACUAUAUAUUCAGAAGGAUUUUUCAAUAUUUAAUCUUAAUGCUCAACAAAUUGUUCUUGAUGUUUGAGAUUCAUGUCUCCAGUUCUUAGUGAAAUCCUUCUUUUAGGGUUUAUGAUAAAUUCCACACUUAGGCGCAGAACUCAUUUAGUUCAAUCUUUCUCUGUUGUAUUUCUUUACUGGUUCUAUGUUUUUUCAUGAAUAAGCUUUCUCAAAUCUGAUCUAUAUAGCUAUAACUAGUAAUAUAAACUCAGAUAUUAAUUAGUACUACUUGGGUAUUUUCUUUCUCUUAUAUAGUGUAAUUCAACUGAGAAAAAAAAAAAAAGCUAAGUUUUUUUUAUUCUAAGCUUUUGAAUCUCUGGUUGUGUAAAUAUACUGUAUGGCUUCCUCCAGUGGAACAUCUUCAGAGUCUACUCAACUUCAGAACUCUGGUUCUGAAGAAGACCUUCAGUUACUAAUGAAUCAAAGAAAACAGAAGAGAAUGUUAUCAAACCGUGAAUCCGCAAGGCGAUCUCGGAUGCGAAAACAGAAGCAUUUGGAUGAACUCAUGGCUCAAGUUGCUCAACUAAGGAAAGAGAAUGGCCAAAUUCUUACAAAUUUACAUAUCACUACUCAACAAUAUUUGAAUAUUGAGUCUGAGAAUUCAGUGUUGAGAGCACAAAUGGGUGAAUUAGGUCACAGAUUACAAUCACUUAAUGAGAUCAUCAAUUACUUGGAUGCAAAUAAUGGUAUGGAAACUGAAGUAGACACUAUGAUGAUUAAUGAUACUUUCAUGACUCCAUGGAAUAAUAAUUCUAUGUACAUGAAUCAACAACCUAUCAUGGCUUCUGCAGACAUAUUUCACCAGUACUGAUGAAUGAUGAUGAAGAAGAAAAGCUUGAAUGCCUUAUCUUUUAAUAAUUGAAAUCAAAGAGUUUGUUGGUGCAGUGGUGAUGUUGUUGAUGAUGUCAAAGGUGUGUUUGGUGAUGGUUCCUUUUCUUAAUGAGUGGCUGUGGCUGUGGCUGUGGCUGGAGAAAGAUUAUAAUUAUGAACAACAAAUAAGAGAUUUUUAGUACUAGUAGGCCCUUUUAAAAGAUUAAAAUCAAUAUGAGAAAAGUGUUACUAGGACUAGGAAUAAUAUUAUGUUCUCCUACUAGUACUAGUGAGUGAAAUAUGUUAUAUGGUAAAUCUUGGUUUGUAAAAUUGGGUUCAAUCUUAUAUAAUUAUGAGCUCAUCAGGAGUUCUUGAUGUGUAUGUCUUCUAUUUAUUAUGAAAUAUAAUAACCUUUUACUAUUAGUAUUAUGUCCUUUGUUGCUAAUUUUAUUCAAUUUUAUUUUAUUCUUGACUCCAACUCAAAGUGUAUACUACUAAUGUUUUUAUAGACUUGUAGUUAUUGUGGUUUGGAAAUUUGGGGAAGCAAUGAAUAUAAUGGCAUGGUUGUUGCCUGUUCUUGUUUCAAAAAUUCUAAAAUUAAUAUCUCAGGCUCAGCUAGGGUAAUACAUAGUGGGGAUGUCAAUCAUUAAAUCAAAUUAAAAUUAUCAUUUGAAGUUUAUACAUAGUGAACUACAAGAAAUAUCACCAGGUAUAUUGAGUGUUGGUCCCUUAAGGCUUAUUGCUAGUUUGCUACACUAUACUGUCCUUUUCUUUCUUGUGAGUUUCCUUUUGUUUGAUACUUUUGUUUCAAGUUUCUUCAACCAAUCUGAAAAAUAUCAAAAUUGACAGCCUUUAAAGAAAAUCAUUUUAAAGGAAAUUGAUGCCAUAUCAUGUUACCAAAUCUCAGAAUAAAUUCCAUAAUUUUUUUAUGAUUUCAUUUUGAUAGUAGAAUCUGCUGGAAAAUUUAUCUAGGAUAUAUUUUGGGAACCAAAGGGAAUAAAAAUCUUUUGGCAUAGUAGCUCCAGUUAAACAAUUCAAGUCAUUGGAUGUGCAAUGUACUGUGAAAUUUUGUGUAAUGUAUAUAAGUCUAAGUGUCUGGCCUAAAAAUGUUUAGUCAUGACCAAGUUUUGAAAUUAGCUUAAUGUUGACUUUAACAAUAACAGUGAUACAACAAGGUUGGUGAUUGGCUGAUUGCUUUUAAUACUUAAUAAUGAGAUUCUCAAUUUCUUGGUCUUUGAUGAAAUAAUCAGAAAAAUUAAACUGUCUGCACUCUGCAGCAUACAUAGAAGUACUAUAGAACAACAAUACCUAUCUUACAAUAUGAAUCCAUUAACUCCUUUAAAUAAAUUAAUUAUUUAAACACAGUUUAAUAUAUCUCAAGAAGUUUUCAUUAGUUCAUAAUUACAGAUAUAGUACUAUUAGAGUAAUAUCUCCACUGGAUCUAUGAAAAGUAAAUCUCCACCAAUUUUGGUUGGCUUUGUUCAAUGGAUCUCGCAUGAGAAUUUCAGUGCUUCAAAGUCUUUCAACACCAAUUGAACUGAACCCUAAGCACUUGAAAGUGCAACAGAAUUAAUAAAAUUGGAUUAAUAAUAAUUAAACUAUACAUGUUUUGAGUAUGAAUAGAAAACUGUUAGUACUACUACUUGGUUGUAUAAAAAAAAAGUACAGUAGAAAACUAAGAAAAUGUAGCUAGCACCACCACCACCUUUCAUGGUUAGUAAACUAAGGGGACAAAGCUAAUGGGUACAAGGUAUUUUAUACUGAACCACAGCCUUGUUUUUCUUGAGGUUCUAAACAUAUAUGUACUUGCUAUCAAUUAAACAAAUACAAUUAAACAAAAUUAUCUGUAGAUUCUUUGUGAAUUUCUGUGAUCAAGGUUAGUCCAUGGAUUUACCCAAAAAAAAAAAAAAAAAAAUGUUAGUCCAUGGUUGCCUGUUAAUAUUUUUUGUCAUAAAAAUAUAAUUAUUGAAUCGUGUCAAAUCUCAUCAUGUUUACUCACAUUCUAAUUUUUAUUAGUAGUACUUUAAGUAAUAUUAAUCAACUUCCUUCCCAUCAUUUUAUAAUGCAAAAAGGCGGUCAAUCGUGAAAAAUACCAGCAAAUCGACACAAUAUUGUAUAAAAAUUGUAUAAUCAUUAAGCUCUAUACCUUAAUUUAAAUUAAGCAAGCAGAGAAUCCUUAUACUACAGAACAUGGUUUGUUAUUUGUUAAAUUAAACUGUAGUCGGUUGUUCAAUAAUGACAUGAUUUCCAAGUUUUUUUUUAUAUAUAGUUCAAAAUUGCAUGAACAUAUAUAGUAUAUAUUACUUUAAGAUAUCUACUCUGGUAGUGUAAUAGUGUAUGAUACUGCUGGUGCUGUUUAUUUUGUCUGCUUCUUGUAUGCUUAUUGAUACAUUUGCAGCUUUAAGCAUGUGUGAAGAUCUACUCCAUAUUGUCUUUUGGGCUCCCUUGUCCUUGCGCAGUUGGGCUUAUUGCCAACCCCAAAAGACAGUGGGUUGUCCCCAUGGUUUUACACACACUCUUGCGUGUAGUCCUCUGUUCUCCCUUAUACCUCAGAAAUUCUUCAGAAAAAUUAAUAAAAUACCUUAAAUUAUAAUAAUUAAGCAACCAAAGUCUUAUGCAUUUUCUCACGAUAGCUUUCUUUUCUAUAAUGAGUUUGAAACAAGGAAGGUGCAACCAGGUUUGAUUAUGUACCUGCUAUUGUCAAUGACAAGUGCAAUUAACGCAAAAUUACACUUUUCUUAAAUAUGGAUUAAGACAUGCAUGUAUAAUAUAAGUAGAAAUAAUUUGACAAUGCUCGAUUAUUUGUUGUCAUUAUAGUUCUCAGUGAACACAUUUUUUUGCUAGAUCAAGCAUCAAAAAAACAUCAUUUUUUCGAUGCUUUUUAGGCUCGUAAGAAAAUUCUAUUACUGUACCUGAAUAAUAGAGAGAAUAAUUCUCUUUGGUUUGGUAGAUGCUUUAAUAGUGUAAAACCACAUAUACUGAUAUACAUAAGAAAAAAAAAAGUAAGCAAAGAAUUGGUUCAAUUGUAGAUAGAAUUGUAAUAAUUUUCAAAUAAACCCACUUUCUAAAGGAUGAUGAAAUGAGAAAUGAGAAAUGAGUUUGUCAUGCCUUUUCAUAUUUGUUGAUUGCAUGUUAGGGAAAGAGUUAAACAAAAAUUAAAUUUAUAAUUAGAGAUGAUGAAAGCAUGUGGCCAGCCAUUUAUGAAAAGGUUUACACAUGAGUUGAGGAAAGAAAAAAUUCUUUCCCUAAUCUUGUUUAGUGGGAAAUUAGUAAUUUUUAAAGAGGUUUGUGAUGGAGGAAGGUCUUAACAAUGACGUUAGCUUUGAGAGUGAUUUGUCACUUGUUGCAAAUUAAUGUGUUGAUUAAGAAUUUAAGAUUGAAAGAGGUAAGAUUGAGAGAGAUGUUUUAUUUGAUUAAAUGAUGGUGGGUGACAAGAGCUAAUGUGACUUGGUGUAAUUGAUUAUAUAUUUAAGCAUAUAUCAUUUACACAAGUAGAAGUGGGGUUGAUGUACUUAGUGAUGAAUGUUUCUAGUUCUUUAAGCGCUUUUUCAAACUUAUGCUUAUGGUAUGUAAUUGAUGUUUUUUUUCAGUUUUGGUGAGAUUUGGUAGUUGAUCAACUUGAUUUUAUUUCUUGUAUAUGUGCUUCUAAAGACUUAAAUGAUAUCCCACAAUUACAUAGCUUUCAAGAUGCUUAGGUUACCAAAAAAAAAAAAAAAAAAAAAUUGAAACACCAAGAAAAAAUUGUUUUUAUUUUUUAUGUUUUAGAUUUUUUCUUACUAACGCGUAAACAAAUAUCAGAAAAUUCUAUCCAAACAGCAUUAGGGAUCGCGCUAAAAACAUACAUAUCACCAAAAUAUAUUAAAAAUGAUAAAAGAACUUGUAAAAGAUAAUAUUGAUAUAGAUAUUGAGUGUGGCUUAUAUAAUCAGUUAAUCACAUAACUUGCAUGAGUCUAGUCUAGAGUGAAGCAACGUAAGAUAUAAAUUGCAAAAAACAUCCACUUUGUUAAAAGUAUGGUUGGCGCAAAGCUUCCUUCCAUAAGCUAAGUAGACUACAUUAGGUCAAUUAGCUAGGCUUUACAUUUUAGAAUUAUUAAAGCCUACGAGUGUCCGAUUAUACAGAGUUGAUUCCACACGCCUAUUGAUUAUGGGAUUAAUAGGACAAGUUUCUUCCCUUAAUCUUGCAUAAACUCCACUAUUUUUUGUGGAUGAAGGAUGUUAUAGUGCUAUGAUCUUUUCUAAUAAAAAUUAAAGUUUCAUGUCUCGAUCGUAAACUAUAGAUAAAUGUAUAAAUAUACCCUUAAAUGUGAGGUGUGAGACCAAUAUCUCAAUUUAUUUUAAUCGCCUUAUCUGAUCGAUAAAUUAAUCAGUCUCAUUCAUUUUUAGUCGCCUUAUCUAACCGAUAAAUUAAUCAGUCUCCUUCGCAGAUGCUCAGGUGGAUUUGGGAUUUACUAAUGUAAAACUGUAAAAGUCACCCUCCCACACAUUUCAUUAUUCAAAAUUUUCCUUAAAACUCAAAACUCAUUUAAACUUUUUUUUUUUUUUUUUUCCUUUUGUCCAACUUUUCUACAUUUGGGCCGUGUAAUCUACAAGAUUCGGGCCUGGGCUUGUAGAAUUUGGCAUUUCCUAGUUGUACUCCUUCCACUCAUUUUGAGUGUGAAUAUGGUUGACUGGGAAAAUGAUAAAAGGAUGAUGAAAUUUAUCACAAUUUUUUCAACAGGAAGGGAUCACUACCUAGUUAUAUAUACUUCUAAGUUCUAUGAAACUAUACAAUUCUGAGUUCAUUCGACCUCCCUUUUAAACAUGUUUUACCUAUCUCUGGUACGAAAUAAAAAAGAGCUUUGGAGUCCAAUGUAAGCAGUAACAUACAUCAUAUUUUAUGGGAAGAGUUAUGUAAGAUGUCCAAAUCAAAUACUAAUACUUUUAUCCAUCAAAACUCUAUGGAACCAGACUUUGAAGCUUAUUAGUAAGUUCUACCAGUUGUGAGUGUUCACCCAAAAUUUAGGACACUAAACCUACGGAAAAGUAUGAUCCACUACCUACAUUCAUGGCGUGAGCCUUGGUGGUCUGGGCUUGAGGGUUCAUGUUAACAUUGUCUAACAAAUUGACUGUCUAGCUUAAUGAGAACGUGAUUGCCUCACCAAGACAUUGGCACAUCAUAUGAGACAAACCACCAAUGCUGCUUCAUUCCUCAUUUCCUGCCCCACACAGAAGAAACAGAUAAGCACACUUACAUAUAGACCUACCGCUGCUCAGAACCCUUUGCUUGAUGUUGAAUCUGCUGAAGAAGAGUCGCCGCCAGCUGCAACGUUGCCUGGAGACGUGUAUGCGGGUUUCCUUCCUCUUGAGCACUACUAGUAUGUAAUGGCUGAUUUAGCUGAGACUGAAGAGCCCCCAUCAGUGAAUCCGCUGAACUAGUUUGAGAAACUGCAGGAGCAUUCAAUUUCUGCUGGAGGAACUGUUGCACUUGACCAAAUUGAACUGUUGAAGCAUUGGAAGAUGCCUGAUUUUGUGACGAUUUUUGCGAUGAUGGAUAUGAAUUGUCUCGUUGGUUGAGUGUUUGUUUAUGACCUUCCUCAAAUGACGAACCAGAGCCACUCCCUGGUUGUUGCCUCUGUACAAGAAGAGUUGCCAACUGCGCAAGCUGGUCGGGUUGCAAUGAUGGAUGGGACACUGAAGUUGACACCUGAGGUGAAAAUUUCUUACUACCAGCGAAAGAGGUAUCUGAAAUUCCAGGAGCCAGAUGACUGGGGUUGGUCUCUUGCAAAAUCCCUGGCUUCAGGUGUGCAGAAUGGACAGCAGUUUUAGAGGAUAUCUGGGGAGGUAGAUUCCCAGUACCAGGAUUUGAGUUUGACAUAUCAUGAGACCAGUUUGACGGAUAUUGAGUUUGUUGGUGCUGUGGGGGAUGGUAAUACCUGGAAUCAUUGAGAGCUUCCGGUCCCCUUGCUGUAACAUGAGUAGAACCAGGAAGUGGCGCUGAGAAAGCUGAUCCAGGCAUAUUUCCCAUAAAGGGAAGAUCAUCAAAGUCUGGUUUUCUUUGAUUUGGAAAAGAAGUUGAUGAAGGAAAAGAUUCUGAAGAUAUGUUGCUGUAGCUUUGAUUCGGGUAGCUUUGAUUAGGACCCCAAGCAGAUGCCCUGAGGUCAGUUGGUGGUGGUUUGAGGUAUGACACAUCCUCCUGAAAAGAUGGAAGCUUUGAGUCCAUUGCUUCAAGGGGUUGGUUAAGAGAUCCAAACUCAGAAUUGACAUCCUGGAACCUUAAGAUGACACCAGAAAUGCUCAGUUUUCCUGGUACUUUAAGAACUUUCUCGGAAAAGUCUGAUGGUGGUACAAGAAACAAGGUAGUCUUCUCGCCCAAUUUAGCAACUGCGACUCGCUUCUUCUGUCCCAAAUAAUCCAUGAACUCAUUGUACAAAGUAAUAUCAGCAUCACUUUCAGGAACAAAGAAGACCACCCAAGAACUAGCUGCUUGAUAGAAAUGCUUUGUGAGCAUAUCAAGGCCUGUCCUCGCAGUACAAUCCAAAAAUGUAGGCCUGAAAGGUAAGCUUGGUGUCAACAAUGUGCUUCAGGAAUACAUAAGAGAGAAAAAAUAAUAGUAGAAAAAUAAAAACAAAUGGCAUAAUCAGAAAAACUUCCAAGUAAAUUUAACAAACACAUAUCACGUGUCAAUGACUUAAUUCUCGAGGCUCUAUGUCAAUACUCUAUAGCAAGCAUUGAUACAUUGAACCACAACAGUGGAAGGGGGGAACACAUCAACUCGAUUUUGUUGCAAGUCAAUGACAGGCUCCACAAAGACUAUUCCAGCAAAGCCACCCCUCCUUCAGUCAGUUAUUCUGGCUGAUUAGCUUGGAAUUCUCUAACAAAUGUAACCUGAAUUAAAAGGAAAUGAUGUAACUUACAACAUAACAUCCAAGACCUUUCCAACAGGAAAGCAGCGAGCACGACACACGGGAGUUCCACCCUUCGCUAUGGUCCCUUCCCAUUUCCACUCUCCCUUCAAAGGGGACAAAUGUGGUUCAGGGGUAGAUAUUCUCAACUUAGGAGGAUUUGUUGGCAAUGAACCGGAACCUUCAAACCUAUCAAAGGGAGCAUUCCAAUUAUCAUUCCGCUCAUCGUGCAGAUGGGCCAUGUUCAUUGGUCGAUCAGUUACUCUAUUAUGGUUUGAAGGCCCAGAUCCAAAUCUUUGUUCAAAAGACCCAUGUUCAGGCAAAUUGGGCAAUGUCGAGAGAAGGCCACUAUGAUGUUUGUCUUGAGCAGAAUUAGAAAAUGGAUAUUCUGGAAGUUCGUUAUCAGGAGGGAAUGGACCUGUCCUUUGUUUCUUUGCUUCCUGAAAGACAUAAUUAUCCUGCAUGCCUGAAAGAUCUUCAAAGAAUGGAUUCUUUCGAGGACGUCGUCCUGGAGAGAAGUCAUGACGUUGAGGACCCCUUUCUCUGGAAGGACUAAUUUGCCGUUCAUAAACAUCUUCUGUUAAUCCUAGUUGAGGUCGUUGUCCCGGAAAAUUCAUUGGUUCAAAGGAUCCACUUCCACCAGUCCAUGCAGGAGCUUUCCUAUUAAACCCAAUAAAGCUAGAAUCUCCAGACUCCAAAUCAGAUGAAAAACGAGGAGAUCCUCCAUAAGUCUCCCCAACUGAAUUCCCAAAAUUUCUAUCCUGUCGGUACUCCAUCGGUGCUCCAGGAUGACCACUAGACUUAAAAUGGGGUGAGAAAGGGGGAUUCAUUGAGUUCCUUCCAUGUUCAUGUGAGUUCAUUUCACUCUUCGCAAAGCAUAUACUCACACGGGGAUUAUUGAAUAGUUUUCCUUGAAGAGCUUCUUUUGCCCUGCAAGCUGCUGCUAAAUUCCUGAAUUGAACAAAGGCGUAACUACGACCCGGAAACGCUGUAAUUUUCUCAAUUUCACCAUAUGGGGAAAAAGACCUCCUCAGAAGCAUUUCAUCAACGUUCAGAAACGAUGGAAAUCCUAUCCAUAACACCUCACUGGGUUCCGCAUCCUUGUCCCCCAUUCUAGAUUUGUCAGAAUACAUUGUUUCUGGGCUAGCGGGUCGUGCUCUCAUGUCUCUUUGAAAUGGAGCUCCAUGAUCAACAGAGCGUCUUUCAUCUCGCCGUUGCUGAUAUUCAUCACGUGAUGAUGGCAAUGACCUUUCCUGCAAGUUAGAAACUGCUAAACAUAAAUAUGCACCAACUAAAAUUAUAUUGGACUCGAAAAAACAAAUUCUAGUGUGUUUCUCAGCGACUUAGCAUCAUACAACAUUUAUAGAAAAGCAUUUUACACCAUUUACUUUGGCCUAUGAGACCAGCUACAGUGAUAACCUGCCAAUUCCAGUAAUAUAGAUGAACAAAACAAAGGUUCUGAAAACAUUAACAGUUGACAGAAGCACAACUAAAGAACAUUCCUACUCCACUUUUGCAAAGAAUUUAGGGGUGAUAUAGCCUCGAUCCCUAAAAUAGCAUCUAUGAGUAAUGAGCUACAGAACAGUAUCAAGUCAGCUCUCCGCAGUGAUACAAAAACUAACCCAAGAAGUUAGCCACAAUUAUACUGUAUUCAAAAAUGAUCCUCAGCCAAAGCGAUAUGUUUAGCGAAGUUAGUAUCUGACAAUAGAGUUCAAAUCAGAAGUAACCAACUUUCUUUCCUUUCCUUCAUAUUUUGCCUCCUUUUCUUUAGUACCUCUUCUCCCUUCUCUCGUUUCUUCCAUCUUUCUAAUUUAUAACACUAAUUGUCUGUUUCUAGAGGAAAUAUCCAAUACAAGAUUUAUGGUAUUUUAUUAUUCACGGUUGUUCAACAAUCAAGAAAAACACUGGAUCCCAAGCACAAAUCAACACAAUCAGAUUCUGUAUUUUUCAUCCAGAAACUAAUUCAAAGACCGAGUAUCCUCAGAAAUGUACUUUCUGGUUUAAUUUUGGGUACUCAUUUUUUGUGUACCAUUUUAUUGGAUCAGUAAUACCUAGGUGCAGAUCUGGUUUAUUGCCAUUCAUAGGCAGAUAAGAGAAUAAUUACAACACAGAUUGGUUGUCAAGGUUGCAGACAUUGUUUUACAAGCUAUAAUCCUGCUGAUAUUAAGUUGAAAGAAACUUAAAGCCACACGCUACAAUAUCAGUCCUUGAAGUGGCUUAAUCACGAACAGAAUCGUGGAUUUAAGAAGACACUUUAGAUCUGUUAAGUGAAACUGCAUAGUGCAUAGUUCGGUAUCACUCUUGAGAAUACUCUGAGAAGUACAUGUCAACUGAACAAAGAGAUGGAUACCAUUUUGGAUGUACAGGGGUGAUUCACUCACUGAAGAUUGACUAAUCUACUUGCCUCAUAAAGGUCCUAACUCCUAACAUCGUGUAUGCAGUUCAUACCACAAAAAGACUACAUCUUUAUGCAGUAGACAAAAUGCUAAAAUACCUCGACGGGUCUCUAGGGGCUUUUAUUGUUUGGUAAACAAUCAAUGACAAGGUUUACAGUGGUGCACAUUUUGCAGAUUCAAGCACUUGUAUGUUCAUGUUAUCCACAGAAAGAAUGGCCUAUGCAGUGAGAUAGUACCCAGAGAAUGAGUUUCAAUGGUGUGUGCAACAUCUUUAAAGAAAAUAUAAUGCUUGGGGAUUUACAGCUCCACUUCAAGAGUGCAUCUAUAAUACUUAUAACCACUUGACUGAAUAUUUUUUCCUGGUAAGGGAACAGAGCACAAUAAUGGAGGGUUAGAGUUAGUAAUAGGAAGUUUAUAUAUCUCUUCAGUCUCAGGAUCUCUUCACACAGCUUAUGCUUGUCUCAAACUACAUGCCACCUUACAAAUGUUUAGUUCAACUGUGAGUUGUUAUUGCAUAAGAAACAUUUGAAGAACUUUGUGAAGGUGUGACACUUGCAAUCCAUGUUUCCAAAAGUUAUCGACUCCAUCACCGAACUAAAACAAAUUCAAAAUAAGUUUAAUGGCAGUCGAAACAUGAACCGCAGAUUUGCACAUGCAUGAAAUGGUGAGAAUGGAUCACUCGGCGUAUUAUCUGAACAUGAUGGGUUUGGAAGAUUGAUUUGAGUGUGAUGGUUAUUACUUGUUAGUGAGCAUAAUUUAUUUAAGCACUGAACACAUAGCAAACUGGAAGAAAAGAGACAUUUAUGUUACACAUCAGAUGAAAUUCAUGCCAGACUUCCUGCUUAAAAGUAUUUUUAAAAGGAACAGUGUUUUUAACGUUGUUGUCUUUCUGCUAAUACGAUACUCAUUGUCACGAAGACUCAACUGUAACUGGUACAUAACUUCUCUUUGUUUAGUGAUGCUCAUUAGCUUGCAUGACUGGCAGUAGGGGAAAAAAGUACAGUAAAACAAAAAUAAAUGUGUAAGCAAACAUGUCAUGUCAAACAUCAGGCUAUUAGAAUGAGGAUGUUGGUCGAAACAUUUAAUGUUUAAUGUUUAAUGUUCUAUGCUUAAUUAUAAUGCCACCGGAUAUGAAUUCCUAGUAGUUCAUAUAUAAUAAAGUUUCAGCUGAACCUUCAUAUUAGGGCAAUCAUCUAACUUGUGAGGAUAGGAUUAUCAGUCCUAACUUGUGAGGUUAGCAAAAGCAUCUAACUUGCGAGGUUAGGAUUUUCACGCUGUGCUGUGGAUGGCAAACCUUAUUGUACUUAUAAGCGACAUUUAGUUUCUGUUAAUAACCAUAAACCAGGUUCUUUUAUUAUAUGAAUACUAGUGUGGAUGGGGGAUUCUCAGAGAUCUUAGAAGCAAUAGAAGUUCGCAAAAUCUGUAGGCCAUCAUAAUCCCAGCAUCAAAUAAAAACAUCAAACAGUUUUCAAUAUGGUUGGGUCAUCAAUAAUGUUUCGUACAACUUUUGAGCUGAAUUCAUUUGGCAGGAAAUAGUACAUGUGUAUCCCAAUUCCCAAUAAUUUAUAGUAGUCAUCUAUGUCUCUGAACUCUUUUUUGGUGAAGUAUGUCUCUCACUCUCUGAACUUAAAUUUCCAUACAACUUAGAAGUUUAGUGUUUGCUCCAAAACCAGUCUUGUUCCAAUGACCUAUCUAACUUGCACAUGCAUAUGAAUAUGACAUGAUCACCUUGGCAACUGGAAAGCCAAUGACUGAAGAAAACCUAAAAUCCAGCAAUUUAAGGAAUUGGUCAACCAGGGCUUCUUAGGCCUUAGAAUCCUUUCUCAAUAUUAUUAUGUAUAAGAAUUAGAGUAUUACUUGCACUGCUCGGUAUAAUAUAUUAGUUUGAUACUUCAGAAAUGGAUGAGAUCUCACCAGAGAAUCCUCGAAAUGGUAAAAGUAAUCCAUAUUGUUACCACCAUAGGGAUACUACAACGAUGAUAAAAACUGACAAAUGCUUUAAAAUUCUAUUCUCAAUGGCAGUAGAAUGAAUUUGUAUAUAUGGAAAGGGUCUUUUGCUAGUAUUACAUCUCAAAAAAUGGAACUACUCCAGUUUAUAUGGGACUCCCACAAUCCUUCUUGCUGAAUGAGCUCAUAAAUAAAAAAGUUCCCUGAAUUCUAAAGAGAUGCAUGAUCCACAAUAGGUUGCUUGUAUCUCAAAGGUGAUGGGAAAGCAUCAAGCACUUAAUGCACACUGAAUAAAUUAACUGGAAUAUGCUGCGCUGUUUGUUCAGGAAUUUACUAACACUUGCAAGUGGGGAGAUUGGGUCUCUAUGAAAUUUGAGAGCCAUUAUUGUCAUCAGAUGCCAUCAUCAGUCGAUUGUGUGAAUCAUAUGGGAAUAGUUUGACUGGAUUGAUUAAGGGGACGUUUGGCAACUUGAAAACCUUCAGACAGAAUUCCCGUACCACUUGUUUUCUACGAAAGGAGAAAGUAAGAAGUAGAAAACUUAAAAUAGAAACUUCAGCAAAAACUCCUUUUCUAGCUUCUUUAGAAUUACUUUCUAAUCUUAUUGUUCCACCUACUUUCUAAGAGUUAGAAAAUGCAUUUUCAAUUGUUUGCCGAUCCGGGUUAGAGGUCGUUCGGCAAAGAAGAGGUCAUGAAGGAAUUUCCGUGAAAGUAGUAGCAGAGAAAGCUAAUAUUUAAACCUUAUCUAAAAAUACAUCUUAUAAUAUUUAAUGAAAAGUACUAGAAAUGCAACAAUAUAAUAUUUUACGAAUAAGCUUAUAAAAAUCUUCUAUAGAAUAAAUAAGCAAAAAACUUGACAUUACGCAUAUAAAUUUCACAAGAUCCCAAAAUACAUUUACCAAAAAAAAAUACUCUCAAAAUGCAUUUUCAAUCACAAAAAAUUAUCUAAAAUUGUUCUUUAAAAAUAAGAAUACUGCUAUUUUCAAAUAAAAAGAAUACCUUAUAUCUUGAGAUUGAGAAAUUGGGGAAGAAUCCAAAAUACAAUUUUAGAGAUGGAAUGAGUCAAUGAGUAGUUGUAGUUGUUUAAUUUGUAAGUUUGAUUGGGAAGGUGUGAAAUAUAAACCUAGGGUUUUUAUUUUUAAGAAAGGAAGAAGAAAAUGUAAUG
rnacentral:lncRNA from 1 species